rnacentral:rRNA from 1 species
UACGGAGGGUGCAAGCGUUAUCCGGAUUCACUGGUUUAAAGGGUGCGUAGGUGGCUUUGUAAGUCAGUGGUGAAAUGCCGGAGCUUAACUCCGGAACUGCCAUUGAUACUGCUUAGCUUGAAUCACGUCGAGGUGGAUGGAAUAUUACAUGUAGCGGUGAAAUGCUUAGAUAUGUAAUAGAACACCGAUUGCGAAGGCAGUUCACUAGGCGUGUAUUGACACUGAGGCACGAAAGCGUGGGGAUCAAACAGG